GCAGACAGUUUCCCCCUUUGUUGCUCAAGCCUUGCAUUCUCUCAGUCUAGCCGAAGUCUAGCCAGAAAGAAAAGGAACGUUUCUUCCCGGUAGCCCUUCCUCCAGGCCCAGGAUUCCUUCAUCAGGCUUUGACCAUUUGGAUCAGGUCCUCACCCCCGCACUGAGGCAGGGCAUGCAGGGCACUGAUUCACCCAGCCUGGGUCACGUGCUUCUGGCCUGGCAACACCUGGAUUGAGUGGGAAGGACCUGGUUCCUCCUAAGGCAUCAAGGUGCUGCUUUAAACAGAAGGGAGGAUGCAUGAUGGUACAGUAAUCACAGUAAUAGAUGCCCACUGCCCUGAGCGGGUGCAGUAAGCACAGUAAUAGAUGCCCAUUGCCAUGAAGGGUGAACUGAGCACAGUAAUAGAUGCCCACUGCCCUGAGUGGGUGAAGUAAGCACAGUAAUAGAUGCCCACUGCCCUGAGCUGGUGCAGGAAGCACAGUAAUAGAUGCCCAUUGCCAUGAAGGGUGAACUGAGCACAGUAAUAGAUGCCCACUGCCCUGAGUGGGUGAAGUAAGCACAGUAAUAGAUGCCCACUGCCCUGAGUGGGUGAAGUAAGCACAGUAAUAGAUGGCCACGGCCCUAACCUGGUGCAGGAAGCACAGUAAUACACGCUCACUGCCCUGAGAGGGUGCAGUAAGCACAAUAAUAGAUGCCCACUGCCCUGAGCGGGUGAAGAAAGCACAGUAACAGACACCCACGGCCCUGAGCAGGUGAAGUAAGCACAGUAAUAGACACCCACUGUGGUGAGCGGAUGAAGCAAGCACAGUAAUAGACGCCCACUGCCCUGAGAGGGUGCAGUAAGCACAGUAAUAGACACCCCCUGUCCUGAGCUGGUGAAGUAAGCACAGUAAUAGACGCCGACUGCCAUUAACGGGUGAAGUGAACACAGUAGUAGACACCCACUGCACUGAGCGGGUGCAGGAAGCACACUAAUAUAAACCCACUGUCCUGAAUGGGUGCAUUAAGCCAGUAAUAGAUGCACACUGCCCUGAGCGGGUGAAGUAAGCCCAGUAAUAGAUCAACACUGCCCUGAGUGGGUGAAGUAAGCACAGUAAUAGAUGCACACUGCCCUGAGCGGAUGAAGCAAGCACAGUAAUAGAUGCCCACUGUCCUGAGCGGAUGAAGCAAGCACAGUAAUGGAUGCCCACUGUCCUGAGCCAAUGAAGCAAGCACAGUAAUAGCCGCCCACUGCCAUGAGAGGGUGCAGUAAGCACAGUAAUAGACACCCCCUGUCCUGAGCUGGUGAAGUAAGCACAGUAAUAGACGCCGACUGCCAUUAACGGGUGAAGUAAACACAGUAGUAGACACCCACUGCACUGAGCGGGUGCAGGAAGCACACUAAUAUAUACCCACUGUCCUGAAUGGGUGCAUUAAGCCAGUAAUAGAAGCACACUGCCCUGAGCGGGUGACGUAAGCCCAGUAAUAGAUGCACACUGCCCUGAGUGGGUGAAGUAAGCCCAGUAAUAGAUGCACACUGCCCUGAGGGGGUGAAGUAAGCCCAGUAAUAGAUGCACACUGCCCUGAGCGGGUGAAGUAAGCACAGUAAUAGAUGCCCACUGCCCUGAGCGGGUGAAGUAAGCCCAGUAAUAGAUGCACACUGCCCUGAGC
ensembl:lncRNA